GGCCGAGACAAGGGGCGGAGCCAGGGAUGCUUUUGGCCCCACCCCGGCUGCAAGGGCCAAUCGGAACCCCGUUCCGUUCUGCGGUGGCGUCGCGAGACACCUUGUCCUUUGACGCAGGCUGGUGGUUUGGAUUUCUUUGCCCAGAUCAUGGCAUGUUCUGCAAGUGGCUCUUAGUGACUUUCAACUGUUGGGUGGACUGUACUCGUUUCCACCAGAGAAGGGAGCGACCGUCCAUUCUAGGACAAGCGGAAUAACCGAAUGAAUGAUGUAACUGGUGGCAACCUGAAGAUAACCAGGAUGAACUGGAGGCCCGUGACUAAGAGAAAACUUACCGUUCCAAGAGUCAGGAGGCAACUGCGUGACUGUUGGCCUGGCAAGCAUUGGGGAGAACGGUGAAGGCUUGGAAGCCAGCUUGAGCUAGACUUAGGACUAGUGAAGUGCAGUAGGAAAAGACCAGGGGCCUCAGCAGCUUGGCUUGCUUUCUGUGUCCCUCCCAGCUCCACGCUUGUCCCACUUGACAGCAUUGACGCUUGCUCCUACCUCUGCCUGGAUGCUCCUCUGCAUCCGACAAUGGCUGGCUCCCUUUGCAUUUGGUUGCAGAACAGUGGCAGCUCCUCGGGGAUGCUUUACCGCUCUCUGAAAUUGCCCACUCAACAGCACACCAUUUAGCCAGUAAAAGACAGGCUGCCCAACUUGACACAAAUUUCAGGGAACAAACACUCAUUUUUAUAAUAAAUAUUACAGGAGAACACUUA